GUGUUUUUACUAUCUACAUUAAUUAGUGCACGUGUAAAAGCAUUGUAAACAUCAUAGCUGAUAUUUGUUAUAUGGAAAUGGGUUCAGCUUCUAAUGGAAAAUGAACAUGCAGUGCAAAUGGCCAAUUUACGACCGUCAUUUUUAAUUAAUCGAUCCUUAAUAGUUGUUGUUCUAUGCACAGUAAUGUGGACAAUAACGCACGCGGAUGAAGCAGUAAUUAUCCGGGUUGAGUCACUCUAACUUCAAGAGAUCCGGACAUAACAGCGUACCAGCACUUUCCCGUAUCUCCUUGACGAAAAACUGCAACAAAACACGAAACCAAUUAAAAGAAAAGCGCCGGAAAGUGAAAUGCAUAAUUCAUGUCGCUUCAUUAUUAGUUGAAUUUAAAUUUCCUGCUAAUUAACAUUGGAAAUUGCUGAAUAUAUUUGAGCUGCUAAAUUCAAACAGUUAAAAGCAAUAAUUCACAGGAUUAUUCUCCUGCUGGAACGCUCAUUUUGAUAAUUUAUUCAGCGGCUUCUAUACAGUGCAACAGCUAGUUGUUUAAGCAUUUAUAAAUCGAAAAUAAUCAGCUAUUGAAAUUGAGCAUAUUUUCAAAAUCAAUAAAGUCCUGACCAUUUUCACUGCUCUAAUGGUUCAGACAUUUCCAAACAAAAAAUUAAACGUGUAAAGGCAAAAAAGGGGCGCUUCAGUUGCAAUGAACAUAAAUCAUUCCUGUGUUGUAACAAAUCAGCUAUGUUCGAAUGCAACUGACCGAAGCUUGUGUCCCAUUAAUAUCUCAUGACAUGCUUGUUAAUACCCACAACCAAUUGUGUUCUGACAAUUUAAUAUUAGUUCACAUGUUGUUCAAUUGUUGCAUGAUUUGUUACUGCAAUUUUAAAUAAACAUAGUUUGGACGUCAGUCAA